AUGACGAUAUAUCCAAAAGCUGCUGCUCUCUGCCGCAGCUGGGGUGCCGCCCACAGCGCUUCCCAGCCGGAACGCGGACUCUGCCUCUUCGAGGCAGGUUUACACAGGGGCUUCCUGCCAUCCUCCAACUUCAUGCUUUUUAAACUACUUUUGGCCCCAAACACUUGGAAGCUGUGGCCUCUGGUGUGGAGACAGCAGUGGCUCUGGCAGGCUCCCUUGAACCCACCAGCUUGGCUGCGUGGAGCCCGAGGGCGGGCACAGCCAGGGCGCCCGCGCCUCAGCACCCAACACUGCUGCGCAAGCGCCGGGCAAGGAAGUGCCCUGCGAGGCCACCUGGAGGAGGAGCGAGAAACAAGCAGAGCCACUCGUCACCCAGAGCGGAUUCUCAGCUAGGACUCCACAGCCACCUGGAAGACACUGCGCUGAGCGACGCCAGCGGACCCCAGCGACGAACACCAGGUGACCUCGCUGAUGGGAAAAAUGAGAAUUCGAAGAUACAUAGUCAAAAACUGGAAUACAGUUACCGGGGGGGCGGGGCCCGGGAAGGGGGAGUUACAACUUCCUGGGCACAGAAGGAGCAUCUGGGCGACGCUGCGUUUUGUAACGGAGCGCAGUGAAGGCAGCCCCUACCGUGAGUAUGACACCGAACCGCACGGUGGAAAGCGGGUAAAUGGGAAACGUGAUGUUGUAUUCACAAUUCCAGAAUAAAAACACAGAACUGUACAACACAAAGAGCGAGCCCUAAUGUAAACUGAUGGACUGCAGUUAAUAGGAUAAGAUUAACAAUAUCAGUUCAUCAGAUGUAACAAAUGGACCACAUAAUGCAAAAUGUUAUCAGGGAAAAAAAAUUACCAGGGAAAAGUGUGUGCGUGUGUGUGGUAAAUGGCUGUGCUUUCUGCGUGUUUUCUCUGUAAACCAACAACUGCUCUAAAAAAUAAAAAUUCAUUCAUUUUUCAAAAAUUCACGCAUGGUUACUUGAAAUGGUGCCAAUUCCAUAUCCCAGGCUUUAAAGAACUUAUUGCCAAAAAGGGAAAAAGAGCCAGCUUCAAGAAUGUCUAUUACCCGAGUUCAUGUAAACUUCACGAAGAAAACAACUACG
rnacentral:lncRNA from 1 species